UAGCAUUUAGGAAGUGCUUAGCUGGUUAAAUCAGGUAAUCUGAAUUAAUUAGGUCGUCAUGAGCUUGCAGGUGGGAUACUUGCA
rnacentral:sRNA from 22 species